CACAAAUUAUUAAAAUGGAUUUAAAAUAAAUCAGCUUAUAGUGGAUUUAAGCUGAAUGUUAUUGAACACAAAGGUCCCUCCACCUGCAGGGGAUGUCAGAAUACAUUACUACUUGGAACCUCAAUGGAAGAGCUGAUAGUUUUAGCUGGAUAUUUUCUCCUUCAAAUUUUGUUCCAUACUACGAAAUAUGAGCACCCGCUUUCUCACAACCCAGAAUCUAAUUUCCUUUUUACCCAAAAGCAAUGGCUGAUCAUCCAAGACUGUUGGAGAUGCUGAAUCACUCAGCUUCUCAGAAAAUACAGUGCUUGGGUAUAUUGAAACUGAGUUCCACUGGCAUGCAUACAAUGUGUUCGCUCAUUUGUCUGAGAGAGCCAGACCUCAGCAGUUCUGAUCCUAACAGCAGAAGUUUGAUCGCCACGGCCAGUCAAUAUCUAGGUCUUCCAUGAAGAAGCAUCCCUAGUGUUAAGUAGCAGUAACUUCACUAGUAAGAUAAAUCUUUCCUUCAAUUAUGAGACCCCAAAAGUAGAUUCUGCAACCUAACUACUGAUAUACCGAAGAGAUUGGAAUUUAGGUAGGUAAGCACAGAAUCACAACACUAAGAUAAUAUCCUGUUACUUAUACUGCAAAUUUCGCUGUAAAGAAUAAAGUGAAUAAAGAGCCUCGGAAUGUUGACCACGUCAACAUAAGAGCCUCUAUAAGAGCCAUGGCCACCCUCAAAGCUCUAAACAACCCAACACACAGUGAAAUUUCUACUGGGAUUUGAAUGGCUCCUCAGGGAAACAUGGCGAAGGUAGGGAGAGAAGCCUUUGGCAUGCUGGAAGAGUACAUGACUACGAAGGAAAAGCAAAAGAUGGGGAGAGAAGCCUUUGACAUGCUGGAAGAGUUCAUGCCAACGAAGGAAAAGCAAAAGCGCCCAUCUCAAUCCUAUGCGCAAUUUUACACAACUCAACCGAAGAAGAACCCAGUUUACACAACUCAACCAAAGAAAUCUGAAGCAGUGAUUGAUAGCAACCAAGCUGCCAAGAUUUAUGGUGGAGCUCUGAUAGUAGGAUAUAAGUCCCGGCCAAAACCAUCCCGUUGGGCAUUCUAAUAGCCAGUCUCCUAUGUCUCAGUUAUUGUAGAUUAUAUCUUCCCUUCUGCAGUGUGUAUGUUAGUUUUCAGUGUUUGCUGUUCCAAUCUAGAAGGAUAUGUGUAGUUCUCUGUGAUUUCUGUGCUUAUCCAGAAGGGUUAUAAGGUAUGGUAAUUUAAUUAUCAAGGUAUCAUCCAUUAAGAACUAUUCUUAAUGCAUGAUUUAGGCUUUAGCUUAUGCAUUCUUCCUUUGUGAUAUUGUAUGAUGGAAGACGGUUCAGAUUUCAGUCUCUUCCUAUAUCAAGAAAAGGAUUAGUUACAUUCAGGUUC